CAAGAUACAGCUGGGUUUGUAGCAUUUCACUUACGUUGAAAAGGUUUGGUCGCAUGUCGACUUAUUUUGA
rnacentral:tRNA from 1 species